UAAGUAAAUUAAACAAAACUUUCAACAACGGAUCUCUUGGUUCUGGCAUCGAUGAAGAACGCAGCGAAAUGCGAUAAGUAAUGUGAAUUGCAGAAUUCAGUGAAUCAUCGAAUCUUUGAACGCACAUUGCGCCCUUUGGUAUUCCGAAGGGCAUGCCUGUUCGAGCGUCAUUUCACCACUCA
rnacentral:rRNA from 1 species